UUGCAACCGACCUCAAACUUUUCCGGAAGUCUCUAUCAAAAUCCAGUCUCAUAAUCAACCGAAAAUAGUGGUGCAAGACAUUUUCUUUGCAAUUUACAAUUCACGAUUCCUUCUCCUAUAUAUAAAGAAGAGAAGUGAUCCAUCCUUUUCGGGUAGCCUCUAUCCAAAUCGAGCUUCAUAUUCAACCGACCUCGGCGGGGGAAUUGAAAUCAAGAACAGUAAGAAUUGGGUAAACCUCUAUGGAGAUGGCAGCUGAGAAUGCCAAGAGUGGGAUAAAGAGGUUCUUGGAACAAUCCACAGGUGACCGAGUUGAUCAAGGAGAUUCUGAAUGUAGUCAUGUCAGAUCAAAGAGAUUGAAAACAAUGUUUCAUCCAGAAAUUUACUUUCUAUAUAUAAAAUAAUCCCUUAUCAUUGAUUCAAUCUCUAAGAGAUUUUGCUGGACUUGCACAGAGUGAGAGGCAGAGAGGGAGGGGACUUUUCCUUACCAAUCAGAAGAAAAAGAAGAAGAUUUGCUGAGGGAAAACUUAGAGAGGAGGAAGGGAUGUCUUAGUCGAUUUCAGUCUGUUCCUAAUUUUGGAAUUUCCGUUUCACAUUCAAAGUUUCAAUCUUUAAAGGCAAUGGAAGAGAUGAAUUUUGCAGGCAAUGGAAGUCUCGCUUUAUAUAUAAAGAUUAAAGCCAAAGCAGCCACCGAGGCCUCUCCAUUUCCAUGGCUUCAGUCUCCCCAAGCUAAAGACACCCCCUCUGAGGUGGACACAGCAAUGACUUGCAGGAUAUGGAGACCGAAAAAGUUGAACACUGACAAAUAUGAUGGGCUUCAUUGAUUUUCUUAAAGCUGCAAUCCAUGAAAUCUCUCCCUACUUGCUCAAUUGUAAUAUGAUUUACAUCAUAUUUUUAUGUAUACAAGCUAUGCUCUCAGUUUCAGCUCAAAGCAAGUAAUUGUUCCAUUA